AAACUCAACCCUAAUUCCUCCCUUCUCUCUCUCUCUCUCUCUCACACACACACACACACACACACUUUUGAAACUAUGAAAGAGAAAAACCCUCAAUGCAACCUGCAGCAUUGCUUAACAAAGAAGAAGAAGAAGAAACGAGUGUAUACUGAGAGAUGUAUGUAACAGAAGUUGGUGGAACACUCAUUUGAGCAAGAUAAGUUGGGCAGCUAACAUGAAGAGGGAACGAGGAUUUUGAGUAGUUGUGUGACCUCGACCUCGGACCUUCAUCAUGUUAAUUAACUCAUUUCCUAUGUACAUAAAUACGUAUAACUACAAUACAUUAUAUUCUCUAUAUGUAACUUAAUACUAUCAUUAGUGUUUAUGUACACUGAUUUUAGAUCCUCGGUGGUUUCAAGAAAAAGGUUGGAAAGGACUAUGGUGGCCUUUUAAUUGAGUCGGAGAUGGGGCUUUAUAUGAGUGUUGAUCCUUACAAAAUGAAAGAAUAUUUAUUAUCA